rnacentral:rRNA from 1 species
GAGUUUGAUCCUGGCUCAGAAUGAACGCUGGCGGCAUGGAUUAGGCAUGCAAGUCGAACGCUCACUUCGGUGAGAGUGGCGAAAGGGUGAGUAACGCGUGAGUGAUCUGCCCUCAAGUUUGGAAUAACUGUUGGAAACGACAGCUAAUACCAGAUGUGAAUACAAAGUUGCAUGAUUUUGUGUAUAAAGGUUUACUGCUUGAGGAUGAGCUCGCGUCCCAUUAUGCUAGUUGGUAAGGUAACGGCUUACCAAGGCUAUGACGGGUAGGUGGUCUGAGAGGAUGGUCACCCACACUGGGACUGAGACACUGCCCAGACUCCUGCGGGAGGCUGCAGUCGAGAAUCUUCCGCAAUGCGCGAAAGCGUGACGGAGCAAUGCCGCGUGAAGGAUGAAGGCUUUCGGGUCGUAAACUUCUGUCAGGGGGGAAAAACCAUGAUGGUACCCCCAGAGGAAGCCACGGCUAACUACGUGCCAGCAGCCGCGGUAAUACGUAGGUGGCGAGCGUUAUUCGGAUUUACUGGGCGUAAAGGGUCCGUAGGGGGAUGCUUAAGUCUGAUGUGA